CAAAAAAUAACAAUGAGAACAACACAUAUGCGGAAAAAAAAGAGUCGGGAGGAGAAUUGUUGUGCUCCUGAUGGACGCGACGGACACGCCCAUUUCACGCAUGGGUCGCAAAACAGAGAGAAUAGACGAACAAAAAAGUUUUGAAGAAACGGGGGGGGGGGGGGGGGAGAAAAAUGGUGAAAGACGAUGGGGGAGCAAAAUUUGUUUCCAUCUUUUGAUGGUCAUGUUUUU
ensembl:ncRNA K03C7.10 ncRNA